rnacentral:rRNA from 1 species
CGAACAGACGAGGAGCUUGCUCCUCUGACGUUAGCGGCGGACGGGUGAGUAACACGUGGAUAACCUACCUAUAAGACUGGGAUAACUUCGGGAAACCGGAGCUAAUACCGGAUAAUAUAUUGAACCGCAUGGUUCAAUAGUGAAAGACGGUUUUGCUGUCACUUAUAGAUGGAUCCGCGCCGCAUUAGCUAGUUGGUAAGGUAACGGCUUACCAAGGCGACGAUGCGUAGCCGACCUGAGAGGGUGAUCGGCCACACUGGAACUGAGACACGGUCCAGACUCCUACGGGAGGCAGCAGUAGGGAAUCUUCCGCAAUGGGCGAAAGCCUGACGGAGCAACGCCGCGUGAGUGAUGAAGGUCUUCGGAUCGUAAAACUCUGUUAUUAGGGAA